UGACGAGUGGCGGACGGGUGAGUAAUGCUUGGGAACAUGCCUUUGUGAGGGGGAUAACCGUUGGAAACGACGGCUAAUACCGCAUAAUGUCUACGGACCAAAGGGGGCUUCGGCUCUCACGCAAAGAGUGGCCCAAGUGAGAUUAGCUUGUUGGUGAGGUAAAGGCUCACCAAGGCGACGAUCUCUAGCUGUUCUGAGAGGAAGAUCAGCCACACUGGGACUGAGACACGGCCCAGACUCCUACGGGAGGCAGCAGUGGGGAAUAUUGCACAAUGGGGGAAACCCUGAUGCAGCCAUGCCGCGUGUGUGAAGAAGGCCUUCGGGUUGUAAAGCACUUUCAGUUGUGAGGAAAGGUGUGUGGUUAAUACCCGCAUACUGUGACGUUAACAACAGAAGAAGCACCGGCUAACUCCGUGCCAGCAGCCGCGGUAAUACGGAGGGUGCGAGCGUUAAUCGGAAUUACUGGGCGUAAAGCGCACGCAGGCGGAAUGUUAAGCUAGAAGUGAAAGCCCUGGGCUCAACCUGGGAAGGCCUUUUAGAACUGGCAUUCUAGAGUUUUGGAGAGGGGAGUGGAAUUCCACGUGUAGCGGUGAAAUGCGUAGAUAUGUGGAGGAACAUCAGUGGCGAAGGCGACUCUCUGGCCAAAGACUGACGCUCAUGUGCGAAAGUGUGGGUAGCGAACAGGAUUAGAUACCCUGGUAGUCCACACCGUAAACGCUGUCUACUAGCUGUGUGUGAUUUUAAAUUGUGCGUAGCGAAGCAAACGCGCUAAGUAGACCGCCUGGGGAGUACGGCCGCAAGGUUAAAACUCAAAUGAAUUGACGGGGGCCCGCACAAGCGGUGGAGCAUGUGGUUUAAUUCGAUGCAACGCGAAGAACCUUACCAGGACUUGACAU
rnacentral:rRNA from 1 species